AUGCGAAGCUCUAGGACGGCGCACUCCGGGUCCCCGCCGACCGGCUCAAGCGGGGCGAGUGGCCGCAGUGGCCGUCGAGGCCGCCUCCGUCUGCGCGCACAUCGACUGCUCAACCCGGCGGCCAUCAUCGAGUUUGGCGCGCUCCGGGUCCGCGCCGACCGACUCAACGGGGCGACGUGGGCGGAGAGCGAGCGCCGCCUGCUUGCCCGCGCCGCCGCGGCGAGCGCGGACGUCGAGGCCGCCUCCGUCUGCGCGCACCUAGCCGCCGUCCAUGGCCACCGAUGUGGCUGCUCUAGUCGCUCGAUUGUGGAGGCUCACUACUCGAUGACGGGCGUGGCGGUCCUCCGCAUCAUGUUUUUGCUGCAAGGCUGCAGGGAGUCCAUUCUCGUCGUUGUUCGCCAGGUGACGCCGCAGCCGCAGGUCGAGCUUGACCACCACGGUGGCGAACUGCAAAAGGCAUUUGGAUCCUUCCACUGCAGGUGGCAACAUCCUCAACUCCCCGAAAUCACUGCUGCUAUGACUAACCAAAUCAUACCCAUUUGCCUGCACCUUUUGUCUCUGUUCCUAGCAAAGCCUCCCACUAAACUUGGUCAAAAAUUUAUGAUAAGCAAGAAUAAAAGGCAUCAAGACAGACCGGCUGCUCUGGAGGUGUGGGAUCGGCUGGAUGAAUUUGUGCGGGCCGUUCUGUCAAAAGCCAUCUACGCGUGUGUUUUUCCACUCCAUAUCACCGAAAAGCAACGGUAUCUUUCUGGUGCCACCACCAACAGCAAGACGAAAGAGGGGUCGGAGAGCCCCUGGCCUCCCCUUGGGCGCGCGCCUGCGCGUCGCUGCCGGACCAGCUCACCCUCCCGCGCCUCGCCAGCGCAGCAAGGGGAUAAGGCCGACUCCGCCUCUCCCUCUCCCUGCCAGAUUCUCCCUCGCUCACUCCGCUCCUCCUCCUCCCCAGAUCCGUCGAGGCCGAGCGGAAUCGACACCGUCCUCCGUCGCCACCGCGGCCACUGGCACCGCUCCGACCGCUCGUGGAGCCGGGGACCUCCACAGCUGCUGAACGCCGUCGCCCCCUUCCCAGGCCCGGCCCUGAGGGGGGGCAGGGGGCGGCCGCCCCGGGCCCCCGAGAUGGAGGGGCCCCCACGUAUGCGUGCUCUGUGUUGUAUAUGGCCCAUGAAGAAAAAUGAUUCUGGGCUAAUUUUAGAUACAACGGCGUGUGCAGCAGCGUACGGGGAGCACGGGGCCAGCUCGACCAAGCUACAGAUCACGCAGGACUCUCAAGGCAAGCUCGAGGGCGACCCCGCCGCCGCAGCCUCCUCCCGCGGAGGCCUUCCUGAUGCAUCCUCCUCCAACGGCGGCUUGGGUAAUUUCAUCUUCGUCACCGUGGACAGGAGUAACAACACCACGGCCCACCGGUCCCAACAGGCAGUUUUGAGCAACAGAUCAGAUUGA
rnacentral:rRNA from 1 species